UGCAAGUCGAACGGAAAGGCCCUGCUUUUGUGGGGUGCUCGAGUGGCGAACGGGUGAGUAACACGUGAGUAACCUGCCCUUGACUUUGGGAUAACUUCAGGAAACUGGGGCUAAUACCGGAUAGGAGCUCCUGCUGCAUGGUGGGGGUUGGAAAGUUUCGGCGGUUGGGGAUGGACUCGCGGCUUAUCAGCUUGUUGGUGGGGUAGUGGCUUACCAAGGCUUUGACGGGUAGCCGGCCUGAGAGGGUGACCGGCCACAUUGGGACUGAGAUACGGCCCAGACUCCUACGGGAGGCAGCAGUGGGGAAUAUUGCACAAUGGGCGGAAGCCUGAUGCAGCAACGCCGCGUGCGGGAUGACGGCCUUCGGGUUGUAAACCGCUUUCGCCUGUGACGAGGCGUGAGUGACGGUAAUGGGUAAAGAAGCACCGGCUAACUACGUGCCAGCAGCCGCGGUGAUACGUAGGGUGCGAGCGUUGUCCGGAUUUAUUGGGCGUAAAGGGCUCGUAGGUGGUUGAUCGCGUCGGAAGUGUAAUCUUGGGGCUUAACCCUGAGCGUGCUUUCGAUACGGGUUGACCUGGGGAAGGUAGGGGAGAAUGGAAUUCCUGGUGGAGCGGUGGAAUGCGCAGAUAUCAGGAGGAACACCAGUGGCGAAGGCGGUUCUCUGGGCCUUUCCUGACGCUGAGGAGCGAAAGCGUGGGGAGCGAACAGGCUUAGAUACCCUGGUAGUCCACGCUGUAAACGGUGGGUACUAGGUGUGGGGUCCAUUCCACGGGUUCCGUGCCGUAGCUAACGCUUUAAGUACCCCGCCUGGGGAGUACGGCCGCAAGGCUAAAACUCAAAGGAAUUGACGGGGCCCCGCACAAGCGGCGGAGCAUGCGGAUUAAUUCGAUGCAACGCGUAGAACCUUACCUGGGUUUGACAUGGAUCGG
rnacentral:rRNA from 1 species